rnacentral:rRNA from 1 species
AUUGAACGCUGGCGGAAUGCUUUACACAUGCAAGUCGAACGGCAGCACGGACUUCGGUCUGGUGGCGAGUGGCGAACGGGUGAGUAAUGUAUCGGAACGUGCCCAGUCGUGGGGGAUAACGUAGUGAAAAUUACGCUAAUACCGCAUACGAUCUAUGGAUGAAAGCGGGGGAUCGCAAGACCUAGCGCGAUUGGAGCGGCCGAUAUCCGAUUAGGUAGUUGGUGGGGUAAAGGCCCACCAAGCCAACGAUCUGGAGCUGGUCUGAGAGGACGACCAGCCAAACUGGAACUGAGACACGGUCCAGACUACUACGGGAGGCAGCAGUGGGGAAUUUUGGACAAUGGGCGAAAGCCUGAUCCAGCCAUUCCGCGUGCAGGAUGAAGGCCCUCGGGUUGUAAACUGCUUUUGUACAGAACGAAAAGGUUUCUACUAAUACUAGGAGCUCAUGACGGUACCGUAAGAAUAAGCACCGGCUAACUACGUGCCAGCCGCCGCCGUAA